AGUCUGUUUCAGUAUUAGUGAAUUUGUGAAGUUAUAAAUUGUUCUAACUUCUUUUGGAUUGAAUUUGUUGAUUAUUUUAUUAAAAACACAUUAAAAAUAACUACCAGGUGAAUGCUACUAAAUAUCGCGCACAUGUAAUGUGCCUGCAAGGUUUAACAUAUGUACAAGAUAACUAAUAAUUGCUCACAUCUUAUCUUUUUUGGUUUAUUUCCGUUAACCUAAUAUGUAUUCAAAUUCUAAUCACUUAUGGAGCUCUCUAAAUGAACGUGGAAGCAAGUUUUCAGUUUUAAUAUGGAAAAAUUUCACAUUACAAAGACGAAAUCUUCUUCAAACCAUUUUUCAAAUUAUAAUUCCAGUUUUAUUUUGUUUGGUACUUAUUGUACUGAGAGGGAUAAUUAAAAUGAAUUAUAAUCCUGAAGGAAGAAACUACACUUCAUUUCCGAUUGAAAUAAAUGGCAAUUAUUCAGUAUUGGUUCAUUCCCCGAUAAAUCCUGAGAUUGAUAAAAUAAUGAAUGAGGUUGCAAACAGAUUGGGACUGUCAAGUAUUCCUUUUAAAACGGCAACAGAAAUGCAGAGAUUUUUACAAAGUUGGGAAAGUCCCGAACUUGUUUUUGCAGCAGUUGAAUUUGAUGAUAGUUUAUCUGGUACCGACAGUAUUCCUGAACAAGUUACCAUAACUUUAAGAUUUCCAUCAUCUCUUCGAAAAUCUGGUGGGAUUGGCGAGGAACUUAUAUGGCAUACUUGGCAAACAACAAGACUGUUUCCCUUAGAAAUAUAUCCUGGUCCACGAAAUAGUGACUAUGGAUUUGGAGGUCCACCAGGUAGUAAAAUCAUCGUUUGUUAUUUAAAUAAAAUAUUCGAUUUAAAACCUUGUACGGUGUACCACGCACAAUAUUCAUUGGUAUAAUUAGUAUACAGAAGUAAAGAUAUGUUGCUUCCAAAAAUUGAUGCAAUUCCUUCAAGGUAUAUGCAUAAGAAAAGCGAAGGAAAAGGUUUUGAUUCGAAGGUUUGCUUUAAGGUAAAAGGUUUUACAUAAUUUGUAUUUAUAAGAAGAACCAUCUGCUCAAAAACUAAAGGAUUUGCUUCUAAAAAGAGGAAUCUAGGUUCACAACAACUUUUCUCGCUCUUUUCAACUUUUCAGUAGCUGCUCAGGCAUCACACAGCUUGAAACGUAAACAUUUAUGUAUUUGUAGGACUGUUUUGUGUUAAAAUCUAUCUAGAAGGACUUUAAUCCGAAGCAUUUCUUUGCAAGGAAAACGUAUAGAUUAUGGAUACGAAUUGUAGCAAAAGCUUUUACUUUUACCUUUUGCUUCUACCUUUUACUUGAAAGUAAAUUAUUAUUCUUAACUAAUAAUAAUGGGUGGAUUUUUAAAGCAAAGUAAAAAUAAUCAUGCCGUAACUUGAAAACAAAAAUUAAUAAAUUAGUAUUCUUUAUUUAAAUGGUUCUAAAGUCCCUCCAAUAAAAGUAUAUUUAAAUAAAUUGAUUUUAUAAACUCCCCCCCCCCUUGUUCU
rnacentral:lncRNA from 1 species